GGGGAAUAUUGGACAAUGGGCGCAAGCCUGAUCCAGCCAUGCCGCGUGUGUGAAGAAGGCCUUCGGGUUGUAAAGCACUUUCAGUGGGGAGGAAGGGUGUUGUGUUACUACCACAGCAUUUUGACGUUACCCACAGAAGAAGCACCGGCUAACUCCGUGCCAGCAGCCGCGGUAAUACGGAGGGUGCAAGCGUUAAUCGGAAUUACUGGGCGUAAAGCGCACGCAGGCGGCUUUUUAAGUCGGAUGUCAAAGCCCCGGGCUCAACCUGGGAAU
rnacentral:rRNA from 1 species